rnacentral:snRNA from 1 species
AUUUUCGAGAUUUAUAACCAAUA